ensembl:lncRNA
UGGAGAGAGAAGGCGGAAGGAGAACGGCAAGGGCGAGCGGGGCGCGGAUGCAAAUGAGCGCGUGGCGUACGCCUGGCGUGACGCGAGGGCGCCGCGAAGACCAAUGAGAGCGGUGGAAGGGAAGGCGAUUUGCAUAGCCCCCCAGCCGCGCGUUCCCAUAUAUGGAGGCGGCGCGGGAGUGGCAGUACCGCACACUGGGCCCUGGCCUCAGCGCUACAAGUUGUGUCUCACGUCGGAAGCCGAAAUGAUGUCUCUAACACAGGCCCUGUCCUCACCCCUCAGCACUGAUGGAGCACAGGGCAAGCACAGCCCGUUGUACCUUCAUUUCUGACGUUGUUUUUAACAUACUGGGCUUUAAUUAUGCAUGCUAUGCUACCAAAGGUAUUUUCCUAAACACAGGCCCAGCUCAGGGCUGUGCAGUGCUGUGCAGGGCGGUUUCGCUCUGACGGUGCUACCCUUGUGUUUGUUGUAUGGGUGGAGGGGCCGUUCUCAGCAUGGGAGAAGUGAGAAGUGAAUAGUGGCUGUACGGGGGUGGGGGUCAGCAUGGGGACUGCACAGAAAAACAUACAGUGGGAUUCCAAGAAAAAUAAAUAGAGCAUAGCACUGCGUGGUGUUCGUUUUUUGCUGUAAGGCUUAAUAAGGGGCAGUGCUCCCUGUCCCUGCAGCCCCAGCCACCAGGGUCAAGCUGUCGCUGCCCAUGUUGUAUGCUGGACCUUGUGAUCUGUGAUGCUGAUACAGACUGUGGCAGCAGGGCUGUGUCCAUGGCCGUGCCAAGCACCUGCCUGCCCCCCUGGUGUCUGGAAGCUCCAGGUUCAACCACAGGAUUGUAGAAUGGCUCUGUGAUUGAAAGCUUUAUAGUGGCAUUGUGGAGGAAAGGACUUUAAAUCAUAGACGGCUCUGUGGUGGAUUUAAAUAUCAUCCAGCCCCAACAUCCCUUUCAUGGUCUGAGUGUUCUCCACCAGAUCAGGAUGCCCAGAGCUCCAUCCAGCCUGGUCUUGAGCAACCCCAGGGAUGGGGCACUCACAACUUCAGGA